UGACAAAGUGUAAAUGUUGUGUACAGUGAAUUAUUGUGGUUGUGUUUUAUGAUUAUUUUCAUCUUUAUUGUUAUUUAUAGAUAUUUCUGGUUAUUACUGAACAGAUUUCUUUCCCUCAUAUUUUAAUUUUGAAGGUUAAACUCUUGCCCCAAGAGCAAAAGGGGUAAUCAUACUACCUGAUGUAUGGACUUUUACACCAGGCUUUUACCCUGCACGAGCUGGCCAACUUGAGGGGAACUGAAGUGGGCAAACCUCGCCCUGUCCUUGAACAAGAAAGCUGGAUUUGUUGAGAGAGUAUCAUUUAAGCUGAAAUCCAGCAUGAAACCAGGGAGGUGAUGGCCAUCGCACAGGCCAUGUGCCGACUAUUCACUUUCCACCAGCUUGUGACUUGCUCCAUGAAGGGAGCAACAACUACAACUGGAUCACCAAGACCAAGCCUCCCCGCUGCUGAGAGAAAUGCAAUCAUUGAUGUCAUAGCCAAAACCGUUGACAAGCCUCUGGUUGAUGUUGAAGAAAAGAUGAGAGGUUGUUUAAGGCAUCUGCGGCUGAUGAACAACUAGACUGAAGUCUUUGUAAAUAAAAUGUGCUGUUAAAAUGAUUAUU